rnacentral:lncRNA from 1 species
GCCAUGAAUAGAUCAAAAGAAGUAGUUCUUACAACAAAUAUCCACUGCCAUAAUGAAUUUCAAUGUUUCUACUGAUCUACAAUAGAAAAUUCAGUGAACCAUUAGCUACUUGAUGUCCUAUAAUAUCUGUGGGAAGUUAAGGUGUUGCCCUGUGAUCAGUUUCUAUCGUCACCACUCUGGGAUCUGAAGCAAGGCACAUCACCUCUUGGAGCUUUAGGUCAAUGAGUCAGAUAAAGGUCACUCUCUAACACUAUUUCAAGAAUUGAGCACACUUUCCCAAAUGAAAGUCUUAGACAUACAAAAUUCCUCAACAGAAUGCAAGUUUAUUGUAUUGGACCCAAUUCAUCUCCUCUCCCUAACUGACUAAACAAGAUUAAGGAUGACACAUUAUGAGACUUCCAGUCAUUCAAAGGUAUCCACCUCCAUUUCUCAGUUGAGGGGUCUGUAGAAUGUGAUUAAAGGGUUAUCAAUGCUUUCCUGGGCUAACUUUGUAGAUCAAGCAAUGUAUACUUAAUUUCUUUCCCUCCUGCAAUUCCACUAAAAUACAGUAGGCUCAUAAGGACUAGGAAAAUAGAGAAAACAAAAAGCAACAAUUCACAAGUAGAAGAGCAGAUGAAUAAGUCCUGAUGCAGCAUUUCCAAGAGAACUGACCCUUUGUCACUCAACAUUCAGAAUCCUAAAGGGACAAGGACAAUCACUACCAGGUCCUCUGAUCUUGGGUUAGGUUGCAGGUGGGCCAGCUGAGAAAGCUUAGCUCUCUAUAGAAUCCUGUCUCCACUCCAUGUACUAGGGCAAUCUCCUUUCUAAAACUCUGGAAAAUUUUUCUCUGGGCAAUGGGAUACAGAGGCUCUCUGAAUCGAGGCAAUGCCAAACAUAAGGAACAGAGAGGUAACUGUCUUCAAAUGGGGAUAUGUUGGCUAUAUGCACACUGAAAGCACAGAUCCUACAGUCUUAGUAACCCUGGCUUACACAGUAUUGGUACUGUAUCUCUAGGCAAGGAAAAAACCCUUUCCUGUGGGACUGGAGUUGUGGCUCAGUGGUAGUGCACUCAUCUGGCAGGUGUGAGGCACUAGGUUUGAUCCUCAGCACCACAUAAAAAUAAAUAAAUCAAUUAAAAGUAUUGUGUCCAUCUACAAUUUUAAAAAAAAAAUGCCUUCCCAGGAGGAUCACACCAGUGUCCGAACAGGGAACUAGAGACAUGUAGUUAGGCAUAUACCAAACAGUCCAC